rnacentral:rRNA from 1 species
CGGUUGAUCCUGCCGGGCCCCACUGCUAUCGGGAUAGGACUAAGACAUGCUAGUCAAGCGCUUUCCCCUAAGGGAGGCGCGGCGCACAGCUCAGUACACGUGGCUACCUGCCCUUGGGACGGGAAUAACCCCGGGAACUGGGGUAAUUCCCGAUAGGUGAAGACCUCUGGAAUGAGUCUUCACCCAAAAGGCGCUUACGCUAUGCUCGUAAGCGCCGCCCAAGGAUGGGGCCGCGUCCGAUCAGGUUGUUGGUGAGGUAACGGCUCACCAAGCCUUUUACCGGUGCGGGCCGUGGGAGCGGGAGCCCGGAGAUGGGCACUGAGACAAGGGCCCAGGCCCUACGGGGCGCAGCAGUCGCGAAAACUUUGCAAUACACGAAAGUGUGACAGGGCUAUCCCGAGUGCCAUCCGCUGAGGAAGGCUUUUACCCAGUGCAGAUAGCUGGGGGAAUAAGGAGAGGGCAAGACUGGUGUCAGCCGCCGCGGUAAUACCAGCUUUCCGAGUGGUGUGGAUGUUUAUUGGGCCUAAAGCAUCCGUAGCUGGCCGAACAAGUCCCCUGUUAAAUCCACCGAUUUAAUCGUUGGAGUGCGGGGGAUACUGUUCGGCUAGGGGACGGGAGAGGCCGACGGUAUUUCCGGGGUAGGGGUGAAAUCCUAUAAUCCCGGAAAGACCACCAGUGGCGAAGGCUGUCGGCUAGAACGCGCCCGACGGUGAGGGAUGAAAGCUGGGGGAGCGAACCGGAUUAGAUACCCGGGUAGUCCCAGCUGUAAACGAUGCAGGCUAGGUGUUUGGGCGGCCACGUGCCGCUCUAGUGCCGCAGGGAAGCCGUUAAGCCUGCCGCCUGGGGAGUACGGCCGCAAGGCUGAAACUUAAAGGAAUUGGCGGGGGAGCAC